UACGGGGGGGCAAGCGUUGUUCGGAAUUACUGGGCGUAAAGGGCUCGUAGGCGGCCAACUAAGUCAGACGUGAAAUCCCUCGGCUUAACCGGGGAACUGCAUCUGAUACUGGAUGGCUUGAGUUCGGGAGAGGGAUGCGGAAUUCCAGGUGUAGCGGUGAAAUGCGUAGAUAUCUGGAGGAAUACCGGUGGCGAAGGCGGCAUCCUGGACCGAUAUUGACACUGAGGAGCGAAAGCUAGGGGAGCAAACGGG
rnacentral:rRNA from 1 species